rnacentral:rRNA from 1 species
UACAGAGGUCUCAAGCGUUUGUUCGGAUUCAUUGGGCGUAAAGGGUGCGUAGGCGGCGCGGUAAGUCGGGUGUGAAAUCUUGGAGCUUAACUCCGAAACUGCAUUCGAUACUGCCGUGCUUGAGGACUGGAGAGGAGACUGGAAUUUACGGUGUAGCGGUGAAAUGCGUAGAUAUCGUAAGGAAGACCAGUGGCGAAGGCGGGUCCUG